GAGAGCGUAGCUCAGUUGGUAGAGCAACUGACUUUUAAUCAGUAGGUCCAGGGUUCGAAUCCCUGCGCUCUCACCA
rnacentral:tRNA from 4 species